rnacentral:hammerhead_ribozyme from 1 species
AUCCAACUGACGAGUCAAAAAUAGGACGAAAUGCUAUUCAUGGAU